GACGAACGCUGGCGGCGUGCUUAACACAUGCAAGUCGAACGGAAAGGCCCUGCGUUUGUGGGGUGCUCGAGUGGCGAACGGGUGAGUAACACGUGAGUAACCUGCCCUUGACUUUGGGAGAACUUCAGGAAACUGGGGCUAAUACCGGAGAGGAGCUCCUGCUGCACGGUGGGGGAUGGAAAGUGUCGGCGGUUGGGGCUGGUCUCGCGGCUUAUCAGCUUGUUGGUGAGGUAGUGGCUUCCCAAGGCUUCGACGGGUAGCCGGCGUGAGAGGUUGACCGGCCACCUUGCGCCUGCGGUACGGCCCAGUCUCCUACGGGCGGCAGCAGUGGGGAAUCUUGCGCAAUGGGCGGACGCCUGAUGCAGCAGCGCCGCGUGCGGGAUGCCGGCCUUCGGGUUGUGAACCGCUUUCGCCUUUGCCGAAGCCUUAGUGACGGUACUGGGUCAAGAAGCCCCGGCUAACUACGUG
rnacentral:rRNA from 1 species